rnacentral:rRNA from 1 species
AGAGUUUGAUCAUGGCUCAGAACGAACGCUGGCGGCAUGCCUAACACAUGCAAGUCGAACGCCCUGGGCAACCAGGGAGUGGCGGACGGGUGAGUAACGCGUGGGGACCUGCCUCGAAGUUCGGAAUAACCGCGGGAAACUGCGGCUAAUACCGGAUGUGGCCUGAGGGCCAAAGGGGAAACUCGCUUCGAGAGGGGCCCGCGUCCGAUUAGCUAGUUGGUGAGGUAACGGCUCACCAAGGCGACGAUCGGUAGCUGGUCUGAGAGGAUGAUCAGCCACACUGGGACUGAGACACGGCCCAGACUCCUACGGGAGGCAGCAGUGGGGAAUAUUGGACAAUGGGGGCAACCCUGAUCCAGCAAUGCCGCGUGAGUGAUGAAGGCCUUCGGGUUGUAAAGCACUUUUGGCAGGGAAGAAACGGCGCGGGCGAAUAACCCGCGCAACUGACGGUACCUGCAGAAUAAGCACCGGCUAACUACGUGCCAGCAGCCGCGGUAAUAC